GAUGAACGCUGGCGGCGUGCCUAAUACAUGCAAGUCGAGCGAACAGACGAGGAGCUUGCUCCUCUGACGUUAGCGGCGGACGGGUGAGUAACACGUGGAUAACCUACCUAUAAGACUGGGAUAACUUCGGGAAACCGGAGCUAAUACCGGAUAAUAUAUUGAACCGCAUGGUUCAAUAGUGAAAGACGGUUUUGCUGUCACUUAUAGAUGGAUCCGCGCCGCAUUAGCUAGUUGGUAAGGUAACGGCUUACCAAGGCAACGAUGCGUAGCCGACCUGAGAGGGUGAUCGGCCACACUGGAACUGAGACACGGUCCAGACUCCUACAGGAGGCAGCAGUAGGGAAUCUUCCGCAAUGGGCGAAAGCCUGACGGAGCAACGCCGCGUGAGUGAUGAAGGUCUUCGGAUCGUAAAACUCUGUUAUUAGGGAAGAACAAAUGUGUAAGUAACUAUGCACGUCUUGAAGGUACCUAAUCAGAAAGCCACGGCUAACUACGUG
rnacentral:rRNA from 1 species